rnacentral:rRNA from 1 species
UACAGAGGGUGCAAGCGUUGCUCGGAAUUAUUGGGCGUAAAGGGUAGGUAGGUGGUCUCAUUUGUCGGGGGUGAAAGCCUUGGGCUUAACCCAAGAAGUGCCUUCGAAACGGUGAGACUGGAGUCCUGGAGAGGGUCGUGGAAUUCCCGGUGUAGCGGUGAAAUGCGCAGAUAUCGGGAGGAACACAAAGGGCGAGGGCAGCUCGCGGGGACGUUACGACGCUGAGACGCGAAAGCGUGGGGAGCAAACAGG